rnacentral:rRNA from 1 species
GCUGGGUGGAUUAGUGGCGAACGGGUGAGUAACACGUGAGUAACCUGCCCUUAACUCUGGGAUAAGCCUGGGAAACUGGGUCUAAUACCGGAUAGGAGCGCCUACCGCAUGGUGGGUGUUGGAAAGAUUUAUCGGUUUUGGAUGGACUCGCGGCCUAUCAGCUUGUUGGUGAGGUAAUGGCUCACCAAGGCGACGACGGGUAGCCGGCCUGAGAGGGUGACCGGCCACACUGGGACUGAGACACGGCCCAGACUCCUACGGGAGGCAGCAGUGGGGAAUAUUGCACAAUGGGCGCAAGCCUGAUGCAGCGACGCCGCGUGAGGGAUGACGGCCUUCGGGUUGUAAACCUCUUUCAGUAGGGAAGAAGCGAAAGUGACGGUACCUGCAGAAGAAGCACCGGCUAACUACGUGCCAGCAGCCGCGGUAAUACGUAGGGUGCGAGCGUUAUCCGGAAUUAUUGGGCGUAAAGAGCUCGUAGGCGGUUUGUCGCGUCUGUCGUGAAAGUCCGGGGCUUAACCCCGGAUCUGCGGUGGGUACGGGCAGACUAGAGUGCAGUAGGGGAGACUGGAAUUCCUGGUGUAGCGGUGGAAUGCGCAGAUAUCAGGAGGAACACCGAUGGCGAAGGCAGGUCUCUGGGCUGUAACUGACGCUGAGGAGCGAAAGCAUGGGGAGCGAACAGGAUUAGAUACCCUGGUAGUCCAUGCCGUAAACGUUGGGCACUAGGUGUGGGGACCAUUCCACGGUUUCCGCGCCGCAGCUAACGCAUUAAGUGCCCCGCCUGGGGGAGUACGGCCGCAAGGCUAAAACUCAAAGGAAUUGACGGGGGCCCGCACAAGCGGCGGAGCAUGCGGAUUAAUUCGAUGCAACGCGAAGAACCUUACCAAGGCUUGACAUGUUCUCGAUCGCCGUAGAGAUACGGUUUCCCCUUUGGGGCGGGUUCACAGGUGGUGCAUGGUUGUCGUCAGCUCGUGUCGUGAGAUGUUGGGUUAAGUCCCGCAACGAGCGCAACCCUCGUUCCAUGUUGCCAGCACGUAAUGGUGGGGACUCAUGGGAGACUGCCGGGGUCAACUCGGAGGAAGGUGAGGACGACGUCAAAUCAUCAUGCCCCUUAUGUCUUGGGCUUCACGCAUGCUACAAUGGCCGGUACAAUGGGUUGCGAUACUGUGAGGUGGAGCUAAUCCCAAAAAGCCGGUCUCAGUUCGGAUUGGGGUCUGCAACUCGACCCCAUGAAGUCGGAGUCGCUAGUAAUCGCAGAUCAGCAACGCUGCGGUGAAUACGUUCCCGGGCCUUGUACACACCGCCCGUCAAGUCACGAAAGUCGGUAACACCCGAAGC